AUUGAACGCUGGCGGCAGGCCUAACACAUGCAAGUCGAACGAGUGGCGGACGGGGGAGUAAUGCCUGGGAAACUGCCUGAAGGAGGGGGAUAACUACUGGAAACGGUAGCUAAUACCACAUACCAUCGGAUGUGCCCAGAUGGGAGUAGCUAGUAGGUGGGGCAAAGGCUCACCUAGGCGACGAUCCCUAGCUGGUCUGAGAGGAUGACCAGCCACACGGCAACUGAGACACGGUCCAGACUCCUACGGGAGGCAGCAGUGGGGAAUAUUGCACAAUGGGCGCAGGCCUGAUGCAGCCAUGCCGCGUGUAUGAAGACGCCCUGCUGGUUGUAAAGUACUUGCAGCGGGGAGGCGUUACCCGCAGAAUAAGCACCGGCUAACUCCGUGCCAGCAGCCGCGGUAAUUC
rnacentral:rRNA from 1 species